rnacentral:rRNA from 1 species
GUCGCGAAUCUUCCGCAAUGGGCGAAAGCCUGACGGAGCGACGCCGCGUGUGGGAUGAAGGCCUUCGGGUUGUAAACCACUGUCACGCGUUAUGAACACCGGGGAGACAACAUCAAGCCGGAUGACAAAGGCGCGAGAGGAAGCCACGGCUAACUCUGUGCCAGCAGCCGCGGUAAGACAGAGGUGGCAAGCGUUGCUCGGAGUUACUGGGCUUAAAGGGCGCGUAGGCGGUCGUGCACGUCGGGGGUGAAAUCCCCGGGCUCAACCCGGGAACUGCCUUCGAUACGGCGCGACUCGAGUGCGGGAGGGGAGAGUGGAACUCCUGGUGGAGCGGUGAAAUGCGUAGAUAUCAGGAGGAACGCCGGUGGCGAAAGCGACUCUCUGGACCGCAACUGACGCUGAGGCGCGAAAGCCAGGGGAGCAAACGGGAUUAGAAACCCCGGUAGUCC